rnacentral:rRNA from 1 species
UUCAGAAUCUUGCACAAUGGACGAAAGUCUGAUGCAGCCAUGCCGCGUGUGCGAAGAAGGCCUUCGGGUCGUAAAGCACUGUCAGAGGGAAAGAUCAUGACGGUACCCUCAAAGGAAGCCACGGCUAAUUACGUGCCAGCAGCCGCGGUAAUACGUAAGUGGCGAGCGUUAUCCGGAAUUACUGGGCGUAAAGCGUUCGUAGGCGGCGUGGUAAGUUGGGUUUGAAAGCCCGGGGCUCAACUCCGGACCCGGAUCCAAAACUACCAUGCUUGAGCGUAUCAGGGGGCAGUGGAAUUCCCGGUGUAGCGGUAAUAUGCGUAGAUAUCGGGAGGAACACCAGUGGCGAAGGCGACUGCCUGGGGUAUUGCUGACGCUGAGGAACGAAGGCCAGGGGAGCGAACGG